rnacentral:rRNA from 1 species
CCCUUAGAUGUCCGGGGCCGCACGCGCGCUACACUGAUGCAUUCAACGAGUUUUACCUUGGCCGAGAGGCCUGGGCAAUCUUUUAAACCUGCAUCGUGAUAGGGAUAGAUUAUUGCAAUUAUUAAUCUUGAACGAGGAAUUCCUAGUAAACGCAAAUCAUCAAUUUGCAUUGAUUACGUCCCUGCCCUUUGUACACACCGCCCGUCGCACCUACCGAUUGAAUGGUCCGGUGAAGCCUCGGGAUUGUGGCCAGUUCACUUUAUUGGGAGUUGGCUGUGAGAACUUGUCUAAACCUUAUCAUUUAGAGGAAGGUGAAGUCGUAACA